rnacentral:rRNA from 1 species
UACGUAGGGGGCAAGCGUUGUCCGGAUUCAUUGGGCGUAAAGAGCGUGUAGGCGGCCAGGUAGGUCGGUUGUGAAAACUGGAGGCUCAACCUUCAGACGUCGACCGAAACCAUCUGGCUAGAGUCCGGGAGAGGAGAGUGGAAUUCCUGGUGUAGCGGUGAAAUGCGCAGAUAUCAGGAAGAACACCCGUGGCGAAGGCGGCUCUCUGGUACGUGACUGACGCUGAGGCACGAAAGCUAGGGGAGCAAACAGG